AGCACUUCGGCGUAUCUUUGUUUAAUUUAUGACAAAGCCUUACAGACCCGUUCAAACAUUAAGUCCUCUUUUGCAACCCAGAACAUUGGUGAAUAUGAACUUUGGCACAGGUAAGAAAGAAUAUG
ensembl:snoRNA